rnacentral:rRNA from 1 species
AGUGAACGCUGGCGGCGUGCCUAAUACAUGCAAGUCGAACGGAGUGGCUCACGGGUGAGUAAUGUAUAGCUAAUCUGCCCUACACUAGAGGACAACAGUUGGAAACGGCUGCUAAUACUCUAUAGUGUAGGAUGAGGCUAUAUUGUAUCAGCUAGUUGGUGAGGUAAUGGCUCACCAAGGCUAUGACGCAUAACUGGUCUGAGAGGAUGAUCAGUCACACUGGAAGGGAGACACGGUCCAGACGCCUACGGGAGGAAGCAGUAGGGAAUAGUGCUCAAGGGGGGAAACCCGGAAGGAGCAACGCUGCGUGGAGGAUGACACUUUGCGGAGAGUAAACUCCUUUUGUUAGGGAAGCGGUACCUAACGAAUAAGCACCGGCUAACUCCGUGCCAGCAGCCGCGGUAAUUC